rnacentral:lncRNA from 1 species
UGUAGAUGUGCAUGCAGCUAUGACUCCUUUGGGCCCAGAGAUAAGCAACAGGGGAUCUCCAGUUGGGAACUGUGUUUCUCCCUACAUAUCACCGUCCCCCGUCAUCCAUCCUUGAGCAGUGAAAGGGGACACCAGCAGUGCUGUUGACACCCCUCCCACCAGAAGCCAGACAACGUGGCUGCUUGUGGUUGCUCAAGUGUUUUGUGUGUUGUUCUGUGUGGGACUCCAAGGGCUGAACUUGCUUGGCAAUUGGUGUCCAUUACCCCUGACACCAGGGAAAACUCAGAUGAAUGUAACACAGGCAGGGCACAAGGGACUUCAGGCCGGAGGAUAAACAGGAUCUAUUCUGCCCUCCCUCCCUCCUUCUGCCUCAUCUCUACCCCUUCUGCCACCCAAAGCACCCCGUUUCCCCACCCCGAAUUCCUUCUCUUCAGGAUCACGCCCAGUGCCUGAACCAGUCUCAUGAUGUAUGUUCAGGUGAAUUCUCAGCCGAGACUGGGAACCAGACUCUGCAUAAUUCUGAGUCUCAGGCUUUGGAAGCAGGCGAGCCUCUGCUCACCCCCUACUGUAUCCUCGGACUCCAUGACUGGAAUCGCCGACUACUGAAUCUCUGGAUUGCUGCUACUUCAAGCUCUCACACUUGAAACAAGACGAUUUUCUUGGGGGCGGGGG